AUGCUUGACAGUAUAAACAUCAUCACAUGUGAUUGUAAAGCUAACUUUAUUUAUUUCACCUGUACAGAAAAGUCUUUCUUCAAACCUUCAGUCCAAGUAAAGAAAUCCCAUCUCAGAGACAUUAUACAGGGGAGUCAGGGCACAAUUUCCUGUGUUGUUAAAGCACCAGACAACACUGAAGUGUCAUGGUUGAUAAACGGUAUACGUAGAAAAGGCACCACAGAACAUAAAGAGCCGUCCAUUAAUAACAUUGUGAGCAACUUGACUUUGUCCAGACAAGAGUUGACUCAUAGCACCAUUGUUUGUACCGCUAAACAUCCAUGUUUCAAAUUAGAGAAGGUGGAAAUUAAAGCUGAUGAUAUAAAGAAAGAACCUGUGGUGGUGAUCAGGAGGCCUUUCGUGGAAUCAAUGCAGGCAGCCAGUGCUGUGCUGGAGUGUGUUGUAAAUGGUCUUCCCUCUGGUGAGGUCUGCAUCAUCUUCCAGUCCGAAGAUACUCCAGUCUCAGGUUUAAAUUGUGUGGAUUGGGCCCCUUCUGAAAACCUUUGGUCCUUGACCACACAUUUUACAAUACCUAGUGAGCACCAGAAGAAUGGAAAAACCUUUACCUGUACAGUUCAUAGGCUCUCCAAAUUCUGGAAAUCCAAACCUACUGGAAACAUUUUUGGCAAUCCUACCAUAGAGCUUGCUGUUGUUCCCAGUGUGAGUCGAUCUAGUUUAGACCCACAGAAGCUGCUGUGUUCUGUGACAGGAUUUGACCCGAAAAUCAAGUGGCUUUCAGUAUCUGGGGAGAAAACUGGGAGAGCUUCAGACGCUACAAUGAUGGAAGAUGGACGUGUGAAAGUGUUCAGUGAGAUACUGGUGCCACAGCAAGAGUGGAAUCAAGAGAUCACGUGUGAAACUAAAACUAAAACUGCAACUGCUGAGAAAAGCAUCAGUAUUUGCACAGUGAUUGUACCAUCCAGUCAGCGGGCAGAGUUCUACCUGGUGGGUCCAUCCCUCAGUAGUGUGAGAUCUGACACCUCUGUCUAUUUGACAUGUUUGGUUGUUGGUCAGAGUCUCAAGUUGUUCUCCAUUCAAUGGAAAGUGAAUGGUAUCGUUCCCAAUCCAAAUGGCCAUGAACAAGAGCCUAGAGUUCAUGCCAAUGGGACUCAAAGCAAAGAAAGUAUUUUGAAGGUUUUAGUUACAGAUUGGAAUGCAUAUGCUCUCUUUACCUGUGAGGUUAAGCAUCUGUGCUCAGAUUAUACACAGGAGAAGAGAAUCUCAAAAACCCGAGACCCCAAACAACCCACUGUUAGAAUCCUCAGACCCUCAGACAGUGAUCUCUCUGGACUCCAAAAUGCCAGCCUUCUUUGCUUGAUCACUGGUUUCUUCCCAUCUGAUAUCUCUGUGCAGUGGCAACUAAAUGAGACACAGCUAGAUGCGUCUCAGUUCACUAACAGUCCUGUGGCUGCUCACACGUCAGGAGGUUUUUCAAUGCAUAGUGCCCUAAUGCUGCCUGCAUCAGAGUGGAAGGACGGCACGUUCUCGUGUGUUGUUUCUCAUGAGUCAUCCCAAAGUCCAAUCACCGCCACUAUAGAGAACUUGUAUGCCUCGUUGAUUCGCUCUCCUCCAUCUGUAGAGCUGCUGCAGGGUACUAGUGUGCCUGAGCUAGUGUGCCUGGUAUUUGGUUUCAGCCCACCUGCCAUCAACAUCACCUGGUGGCUAGGUAAGACUGAGGUGUCUGCCCACAGGAUCACUCACCCUGCAAAAGGCCCUGAUGGAAAAUUUAGCAUCCGAAGUCACCUGGAUCUCCAACCUUCAGACUGGGUACCUGGUGAGGUGUACACAUGUGAGGUCACUCAUGUUACUGGAAUCCUGUCGCCUAACAUCUCAACGAAAACAGCAUUAUUUGAAGAGGCUAUAUUUAUGAAUGAGAACAAACCUGAAGCUAUUGCACAGGAUACAGUUGAAGAGGCCUGGAACAUGGCCUGUGCCUUCCUCGUCCUCUUCCUCGUCUCUCUUUUCUAUGGGUGCACAGUGACUUUGGUCAAAGUCAAGCCUACAUGAACAAUAUUUUGUGUGUGUGCUUAUGUUUUCUAGAUUCCUUUGCUUCUUUGUUGUUGUUGUUUUGUUUAUGUCUUUCAAUUGACAUAACUUUGCAAACAUUAUAUGGUAAAUAUCAGCUUUUGGCCUUGUGGCCAUUUAA